GGGUUUGACCCCUCCUCUGGUAUUCCUGGAGUCCUUCCUCCCGGCGCUGUGCCCCCUGGUGCCCGCUUUGACCCCUUCGGGCCAGUUGGGCGACACAGGCCUGGGCCGGACCCUGAUCACAUGCCUCCCCCAGGAUAUGACGACAUGUUCAUGUAGACGCACUAACAUCCCGUAGUUCUCGCUGUUCUGCAGUGAUAUGCACUUUGUGUUUGAAUAAACUAUGUUGUGGUCAAACAUAA